rnacentral:rRNA from 1 species
GGCCCGUGGCCGAUUAGCUGGUUGGUGGGGUAAGGGCCUACCAAGGCGACGAUCGGUUGCUGGUCUGAGAGGACGAUCAGCCACACUGGGAUUGAGAACGGCCCAGACUCCUACGGGGGGCAGCAGUGAGGAAUUUUCCGCAAUGGACGCAAGUCUGACGGAGCAACGCCGCGUGCAGGACGAAGGUCUUCGGAUCGUAAACUGCUUUUCCCAGGGACGAGCAAGGACGGUACCUGGGGAACAAGCCCCGGCUAACUACGUGCCAGCAGCCGCGGUAAUACGUAGGGGGCAAGCGUUGUCCGGAUUUAUUGGGCGUAAAGCGCCCGCAGGCGGUCGCGUCAGUUUGGGGUGACAGCUCCUGGCUUAACCGGGAGAGGACCUCGAAGACGGCGUGACUUGAGGGCCAGAGAGGGACAUGGAACUCCGGGUGGAGUGGUGAAAUGCGUAGAGAUCCGGAAGAACACCAAAGGCGAAGGCAGUGUCCUGGCUGGCACCUGACGCUCAGGGGCGAAAGCGAGGGGAGCGAACGGGAUUAGAUACCCCGGUAGUCCUCGCCGUAAACGAUGACCACCAGGUGUGGGAGGGAUCGACCCCUUCCGUGCCGGCGUUAACGCACUAAGUGGUCCGCCUGGGGAGUACGGUCGCAAGAUUAAAACUCAAAGGAAUUGACGG